CACAGGCAGUUGCAACAUUGCCUUAUUUGGAUUAUCACGGCUACCUACCAUAUGGAGCUCCACAGUUGCAAUAUCACCCACCUACGUACGUGUAUUUGCCACCAACAGACGAGCCGUAUGAGGGACCACCGGGAGAGAGAUUUGAGGACUGAAGAAUGCAGAGAAUAUGCUACAUGGAUUAUUCUGGACUAUGCCUUUGCCUCUGUUGUAUCUUUGGAUUGUAAUAAUUCUAAUGGACUUUGGAUGUAUUGCGUUCUAUGUGUGGACUUUGGACAUGAGUUAUGUGUAAUAAUUCUAAUGGACUUUGGAUGUAUUAUGUUGUAUGUGUGGACUUUGGACAUGAGUUAUGUGUUAAAUGGUGUAUUUGUCAUUGUUUUGUGGAGUUAUAUAUAUGUUAUGCAUUAUAAACUGUCAAUAUACACAUAAUCA